UCAUUAGAUACCCAGGUAGUCCCAGCUGUAAACGAUGCAGGCUAGGUGUUUGGGCGGCCACGUGCCGCUCUAGUGCCGCAGGGAAGUCGUAACAAGGUAUC
rnacentral:rRNA from 1 species